rnacentral:tRNA from 1 species
GGCUCCGCCGUCUAAUUGGUUUUGGACGCCACCCUCUCAAGGUGGAGAUUACGGGUUCGAUCCCCGUCGGAGCUA